rnacentral:rRNA from 1 species
UACGUAGGGUGCAGGCGUUAAUCGGAAUUACUGGGCGUAAAGCGUGCGCAGGCGGUUUUGCUAAGACAGGUGUGAAAUCCCCGGGCUUAACCUGGGAACUGCGCUUGUUACUGGCAGGCUUGAGUGUGGCAGAGGGGGGUGGAAUUCCACGUGUAGCAGUGAAAUGCGUAGAGAUGUGGAGGAACACCGAUGGCGAAGGCAGCCCCCUGGGCUAACACUGACGCUCAUGCACGAAAGCGUGGGGAGCAAACAGG